UACGGAGGAUCCAAGCGUUAUCCGGAUUUAUUGGGUUUAAAGGGUGCGUAGGCGGUCCUAUAAGUCAGUUGUGAAAUACGGCAGCUUAACUGUCGAGGUGCAAUUGAUACUGCAGGACUUGAGUACAGACGAGGUAGGCGGAAUUGACGGUGUAGCGGUGAAAUGCUUAGAUAUCGUCAAGAACACCGAUAGCGAAGGCAGCUUACUAGACUGUAACUGACGCUGAUGCACGAAAGUGUGGGGAUCAAACAGG
rnacentral:rRNA from 1 species